rnacentral:lncRNA from 13 species
CAUUUCAGCGUGUCGUGUUUAGUUACAUUUGGUUGAGUUGUCAACAAAUUUGAAUUCAAUGUGAAAUCAAUACAACAAAUCUACCAUGUCAUUGGACUUAGGUUAAAAGUUUGGUGAAAAAAAUAUGUUGAUGACUUUUUUCAAUUCCAAUCAGUUUUCCAUGUUGAUUCACCAUCAUCACAUUACAUUUUUGUUGUUGAAAUGACAAGGAAACAAAGUUGAUUCAACCAGUCUUUACCCAGUGGCUUACAUUUAGGCAAUAGUGAUUCAUAAGGUUUAGUUGAAAAGAUCCAAUCUCUUACAAGCCAAACAAUCAGAGGCCCUCUGAAUUACAGACCUGAAUCUUUGAGUUUAUGAUCCAAGUUCUAAGGAAUUUUAUGAUUGUUUUGUUUUGAGGAUGUGAGGAAGUUUCAGCAGGCCUACGACAUCCUGGUGAACUUCAUUAAUGAGCCAGCAAACAGGGAGCAACUAGAGCUGGAGAUGGCUCUUGUAGGAGUAGGUUUACAUGCAAGCUUGAGCGUUAGCUGCAGGCACCGUCUGCUCAUCCAACAUCUACUCAAUGAGACUUUCUAAAGUGCUUGUCAAUGAAAAAUAUGUAAUUAUCUUAUUUGUUUGACUUCAGAUCAACCACAUCAAUUUCACAGAUGUAUUUUAUGAAUUCGUUCUACUGAGCCUUCUUGAAGGAAAAACAUCUCUUCCAACAUCUGUAAGUGACCCUAAUAAUGUAAACAUCCUGUUGUUUAUCUACCCUAUCCACACUGUAGCCAUACCAGGUCUGUAGACACUCACUCAUGUCCCCUGUUCCUACUCCAGAGGCCUGGUACCUUCUUUUAUCUGCUCAUGGAAGUGAUGAUGAGGAUUCGCCCUCCUGGAGGAGCCUGGACAGAGUCUGCUGGGAACUUCUACCUCCUCAUUAAGGAUCAGAUGAAGGCGUGGUUGGACUCCAUCUUCAACCUCGAUGAGUCCAUCUAUGAAAGCCCACAGAGGCUCUCGUGGCAGGUGAUGGAGAAUCUAGAAAUGCCGGUUGACUUCCUCCUGUCCAGCCUGGAUUAAGGGUCCCAAACUGAGCUGAGGAUCCCAAACACAAAAUAAAGUAUUUUUAUAUUUAAACAUUAUCUGUCAAUCUCAAACUAAUUUUACAUCAUGUCAAAUCAAAUCAAAGCCCAUUUUAUUUGUCACAAACACAUGGUUAGCAGAUGUUAAUGCGAGUGUAGCGAAAUGCUUGUGCUUCUAGUUCCGACAGUGCAGUAAUAUCUAACAAGUAAUCUAACAAUUUCAAAACAACUACCUUAUACACACACAAGUGUAAAUGAAUGAAUAAGAAUAUGUACAUGUAAAUAUAUGGAUGAGCGAUGGCCGUGCGGCAUUGGCAAGAUGCAGUAGAUGGUAUAGUACAGUAUAUACAUAUGAGAUGAUGUAGGGUAUGUAAACAUUAUUUAAAGUGGCAUUGUUUAAGGUGACUAGUGAUACAUUUAUUACAUCCAAUUUUGUAUUAUUAAAGUGGCUAGAGAUUUGAGUCCGUAUGUUGGCAUCAGCCACUCAAUGUUAGUGAUGGCUGCUUAACCUCACUAGGGAAUGUGGGACGCUAGCGUUCCAUGUCCAUCAUUUAUGUCCAAAUACCUCCUUUUUGUUCUCGUGUUUAGCCCAGUAAUCCAAAUUCAUGAGGCGCGAGCAGCCGAAAAGUCAAAAAGUUCCGUUACAGUCCUUAGAAACAUGUCAAACGAUGUAUAGAAUCAAUCUUUAGGAUGUUUUAAACAUAAAUCUUCAAUAAUGUUUCAACCGGAGAAUUCCUUUGUCUGUAGAAAUGCAGUGGAACGCAAGCUAACUCUCAUGUGAACAUGCGGGAUCAGAUCAUGCCACUCUGGCAGAUGUCUGACUCAUUCAGCUCCCAUUCCCCCCUCCUUCACAGUAGAAGCAUCAAAGACUGUUGACAUCUAGUGGAAGCCUUAGGAAGUGCAAUAUGACCCAUAGACACUGUAUAUUCGAUAGGCAAUGACUUGAAAAAAAAAAAAAAAAAAAGAUUUCCCACUUCCUGGUUGGAUUUUUUCUCAGGUUUUUGCCUGCCAUUUGCGUUCUGUUAUACUCACAGACAUCAUUCAAACAGUUUUAGAAACUGUGAACAGGUAGUGGCUCGGGUGGUUGCUGUCCUUGAUGAUCUGUUUGGCCUUCUGUGAUAUCGAGUGGUGUAGGUGUCCUGGAGUGCAGGUAGUUUUCCCCCAGUGAUAUGUUGUGCAGACCUCACUACCCUCUGGAGAGCAUUACGAUUGUGUGUGGAGCAGUUGCCGUACCAAGCGGUCAUACAGCCCGACAGGAUGCUCUCGAUUGCGCAUCUGUAAAAGUUUGUUUGUGUUUUCGGUGACAAGCCGAAUUUCUUCAUCCUUCAGAGGUUGAAGAGGCGCUGUUGCGCCUACUUCACCACGCUGUCUGUGUGGGUGGACCAUUUCAGUUUGUCCGUGAUGUAUACCCCGAGAAACUUAAAACUUUCUCCACUUCUGUCCCGUCGAUGUGGAUAGGGGGGUGCUCACUUUGCUGUUUCCUGAAGUUCACGAUCGUCUCCUUUGUUUUGUUGACGUUGAGUGUGAGGUUAUUUUUCUGACACCACACUCCGAGGGCCCUCACCUCCUCCCUGUAGGCCGUCUCGUCAUUGUUGGUAAUCAAGCCUGCCACUGUAGUGUCGUCUGCAACCUUGAUGAUUGAGUUGGAGGCGUGCAUGGCCACGCACUCAUUUGUCAGCUCAAGCCAUCUCCAGUGACCAUACGCCCAGAUUAGCUGCAGGGAACUGGAGACCAUAAAAACACAGACACUAACAGAACAGAAAUAUCCUACUAUUUGUUAAGUAUUAAUUGCUAACUAUUAAUAUCAAACAAAUCCGGUAAAUGUGUAAUUUUUCUAUCACAGAAGUCACAUAAUAAGUUCCAUGUGUGCAAUAAUGGUGUUUAACAUAAUUUUUCAAUGACUACCUCAUCUCUGUACCCUACACAUACAAUUAUCAAAUCAAAUUUUAUUUGUCACAAUGAGGUAAAGUUGAAAUAAAGUUGAUAAAAUAUUUACUAAAUAAACUAACUAAAAUCAAAUCAAACCAUGUCAAAUAUUUUCAGUCUCUUGAGGGGGAAAACGUGUUGUUGUGCCCUCUUCACAUCUGUCUUGGUGUGUUUUGAUCAUAAUAGUUUGUUGGUGGAUGUGGACACCAAGGAACUUGAAACUCUCGUCCCGCUCCAGUUCAGUCCCGUCUGUUAAUAGGGGGCCUGUUCGGCCCGCCAUUUCCUGUAGUCCACGAUCAGCUCCUUUGUCUUACUCACAUUGAGAGAGAGGUUGUUGUCCUGGUACCACACUGCCAUGUCUCUGACCUCUGUCCUCCUCCCUAUUAUCUGCAAGGUCCCCCAGUCGAGCAGUGAACUUCAAACACAGAUUAAACCACAAAGACCAGGGAGGUUUUCCAAUGCCUCACAAAGAAGGGCACCUAUUGGUAGAUGGGUAAAAAAAAGCAGACAUUAAAUAUCCCUUUGAGCAUUGUGAAGUUAUUAGUUACACUUUGGCUGGUGUACCAAUACACCCAGUGACUACUAAUUCAUCGUGAAUAAUGAUGAGUGAGAAAGUUACAGACACACAAAUAUCAUAAGCGCAAGACAUGCUAACCUCCCACCAUUACAAUAACAGGGGAGGUUAGCAUUUCUGGGGUGUAUGAUAUUUAUACCUCUGUAACUUUCUCACUGCUCAUUAUUCACGAUUCAUUCAGGAUUAUCCCUAAUCAUGGUAGCAUCCACAUUAAUGUAGACGUGUUUAGAAACAUAUUAUAUUCUUAUCUACAAUAAAAGUGACUCCAAAAUGACACAAUACAUUAUUUACCAUUCAUUUCUGUUGGGCACAAAAUAAUCUGAAACACAACCAAAACAAAGAGCAAAUUCAUCCAACAACUUUGUAGAGUCACAAGCUUGAUGAA